UACGAAGGGGGCUAGCGUUGUUCGGAAUUACUGGGCGUAAAGGGCGCGUAGGCUGUGCUGUAAGUCAGGCGUGAAAGCCCCGGGCUCAACCUGGGAAUUGCGCUUGAUACUGCGGCGCUGGAAGGUGGGAGAGGAUGGCGGAAUUCCCAGUGUAGAGGUGAAAUUCGUAGAUAUUGGGAAGAACACCGGUGGCGAAGGCGGCCAUCUGGCCCAUUUUUGACGCUGAGGCGCGAAAGCGUGGGGAGCAAACGGG
rnacentral:rRNA from 1 species